AAGAAGAGGAACCAUGAACUUUUGUAAAUUAAAGUCUCCUUUUAAUUUAUGUAUAUGGUGGCACAUAAUCGGAAGCCCCGACUGUUUACUAAAAACACAACUAUCUGCAAUUAUGAAAAUAAUAGUAUAGGUAGUGAGAUUUGCCCAAUGCCAUAUUAAUAAGUAAUAAUAAUAGGUAACUGUUUCUUUACAAAAAAUUGGUUAAUAGCGGUCUUAACUAUGAGGAUCCUAAGGUAGCAAAAUAAAUUGGCCAUUAAAUGUGGUCCAGUAUCAAUAAUUUAACGAUGGCUUCACUGUCUCUACAACUUGCUCAGUGAAAUUGAAUUACCCGUGCAGAUGCGGGUUACCUCAAAGAGGACGGGAAGACCCUAU
rnacentral:rRNA from 1 species